GGGAAGAAAAGGCUGUUGCUAAUAUCGACAGCUGAUGACGGUACCUGAAGAAUAAGCACCGGCUAACUACGUGCCAGCAGCCGCGGUAAUACGUAGGGCGCGAGCGUUGUCCGGAAUUAUUGGGCGUAAAGAGCUCGUAGGCGGCUGGUCGCGUCUGUCGUGAAAUCCUCUGGCUUAACUGGGGGCUUGCGGUGGGUACGGGCCGGCUUGAGUGCGGUAGGGGAGACUGGAACUCCUGGUGUAGCGGUGGAAUGCGCAGAUAUCAGGAGGAACACCGAUGGCGAAGGCAGGUCUCUGGGCUGUUACUGACGCUGAGGAGCGAAAGCGUGGGGAGCGAACAGGCUUAGAUACCCUGGUAGUCCACGCUGUAAACGGUGGGUACUAGGUGUGGGGUCCAUUCCACGGGUUCCGUGCCGUAGCUAACGCUUUAAGUACCCCGCCUGGGGAGUACGGCCGCAAGGCUAAAACUC
rnacentral:rRNA from 1 species